GGCUUGCCUAAAGGGGCCGUAGCUCGUUUUGUAAGUUUUCGGUUAAAUCCAUGCGCUUAACGUAUGGGCUGCCGGGAAUACUGCAUAACUAGGAAGUGGGAGAGGUAGACGGUACUCGGUAGGAAGGGGUAAAAUCCUUUGAUCUAUUGAUGACCACCUGUGGCGAAGGCGGUCUACCAGAACACGUUCGACGGUGAGGGAUGAAAGCUGGGGGAGCAAACCGGAUUAGAUACCCGGGUAGUCCCAGCUGUAAACUAUGCAAACUCAGUGAUGCAUUGGCUUGUGGCCAAUGCAGUGCUGCAGGGAAGCCGUUAAGUUUGCCGCCUGGGAAGUACGUACGCAAGUAUGAAACUUAAAGGAAUUGGCGGGGGAGCACCACAAGGGGUGAAGCCUGCGGUUCAAUUGGAGUCAACGCCAGAAAUCUUACCCGGAGAGACAGCAGAAUGAAGGUCAAGCUGAAGACUUUACCAGACAAGCUGAGAGGUGGUGCAUGGCCGUCGCCAGCUCGUGCCGUGAGAUGUCCUGUUAAGUCAGGUAACGAGCGAGAUCCCUGCCUCUAGUUGCCACCAUUACUCUCAGGAGUAGUGGGGCGAAUUAGCGGGACCGCCGCAGUUAAUGCGGAGGAAGGAGGGGGCCACGGCAGGUCCGCAUGCCCCUAAAAGC
rnacentral:rRNA from 1 species